CAAAUACCUUGCUGAAGCAAAAUGAUAAAAGCUCAGCACGUCAUUCGUGGCAGGUUGGAUAUAAUAAUCAGUGAUCACACUUUAAUUUGUGGUUACUGAAAUGAUAAUAUCUUGAAAAUUGGAUAUCCCUGUCCUACACAAAUCAGAGUGGCCAGUUGGUCUGUAAGGGAUACUGAAGCCACCAAACAUUGAACAAAGAAGCCAAAAGGUAAAGCAAGAAUUUAAAUAAGGAUUUAUAAGAGCUAAGCCUCCUGCAGACAUGGAAAAUUUUGGACAGAAGGAGAGUGGAAAAAAAUGGACCAGCUUUCACAGUAGGAGAAACCCAGUUUAACUGUUGGUUGAUAUCAGCCAAGACAACACAAGUCUCCUUCCUGAAUAUAGUUGCUGUACCUUCAAAGAUUCCCCUGGGGAAAGGUGAAACCAAGGGAUUUCUGAGAUGGGGGCAUGCCACUACCACCUGUGCCUGGACCAGCUGCUGCAGUGUGUUAUCGACCUUUACAGCACCAUCCCCUGCCAAGGCUGAGGUGGGGAUGUCAGCCUGCCAGGAAUGGCCUUGGUGCCGUGGGCUGUGAUGGAAGAUAGGGUAUGAAGACAUCCUGGAUGUGAUUAUUAUUGCCACAGAGGGGACAGAGGCAACUGAGCUACACUUCACGUGUCCCAGCAACACAGACGUCUGGAGCUGAUCCAGACACCAUUCUGGGCCUUACCCUUGACAUCUCUUCCUUUCACUUUUUCCCCUUUGGCUAAAAAAUUAACCACAGACCUUUGCGGGGAUUUGUGGGUCCAGGCUGCUAGAUACUGAAGCAAGUUUCACACGAGUAUGUCUGAGUUUCAGCAGUGUACAGCAGUAAUAUUUUUUUUUCAGAGAAACAUCACAAGAAGAGAAUAGUCUCCUCAACCUUCAUUUCAUAUUAGUUUGUACUCCACCCCAACUACCUGACAGAGACCUCUCAGCUGGACAACUGGACUUCUUCACGCACUAACCCGUCCUAUAAUUUACAGUGUCUAUUCUUCAGGUUUCACAAGUAUUAUGCCAGAGACUUAUGAAUCAGCCUCAUAAAUUCACAUGGAGCCCUGGUUCCUCUUGUAGCAAUGGUGCGUACCUCCUGCAGUUCACCCGGUUUCCAUACAAAAUAGCCAACAGCGUGGAAAGUGUUUUGAGGAUGAGUUCAAGGACUAGCCUUUGAAGUGGCUGUUCUUAUGAAAGGAAACUUCAACGGCAGGGUGUAUAAAUUUGUGACAGGGAUUAAUUACAAUACAGAACCUAAAAAAAUGCACUCAUAAUGAUUGGAAAUAACUACAGCAGGGAUAAGCCAUUUGUGGUGUGAAUACAUGACUCAACAAACUCCCCUGAUAAAAGGCUGAAAGCACUUGGAGAAGGUACUUAAAAUAUCUGCUGAUCUGAAUAACCUUUUUUUUUUGUAAAUAGAUUAAGCAAUAAAGGCUGCAGGACACCAGAGGAAUGACUUGUCUGAAAUAUUGCUAAAUGCCUUCUGAAAGGCAUGUAGUUGAGAUAAUAUCUCUGGUUGGAAACAAACUGGAUUAUGGAAGUCCUGUCAACUAGAGAGAUUAUAUUAUGCGUAUAUGGAUUCACCCAGCAGCAUCAAGUCAAUUGUGAUUAAGGGAGAAACCAAGCACUGACUUAAAAGUAGGCCCAUAAUGUGUUCUCAAACCAGUGUCCAGGGAGCAUUGCAGUUCACAGCAAGUAUGAGUUUAAAAAAAAAAAUCCUCAAUCAUCUCUCUCUAAUUCACAGUAAAUAAAAUAACUUUCUGAACAGUUGUGAUUCAUUGCUAGUAGGCAAACUAUGAAAAUUGCAUCUCAUUUUUUUUUUUUCACACAGGUUUUAACACUCUUGUACUUAAAGAACAGAGCAUUUAGAGCAGUGGGUUUUUUACCACAUAUUCCAUGUCUCUUGCAUCAGGCAGGGAUCAAGCUUCACACAUGAUCCUGCAAACAACACACAUCUGGAAAUCCAGAAAUAACUGCAUAUGUCAUGUAACACUUGCUGAUUACUGACAGGCUUCACUGUGGAGCUAUAAGGAGUCACGCUGAGACCUCACAAAAUCUGACUGCUCUUCCUUCCAUGUCUCUCCCACCUCAUUUGCACACUUUGGCAAGUUUUGGCACCUGGAGUCAUCCGGCCUCAGUGUUAUAUCCAUCCAAUCUAUCCACUCAUCCCAUGUGCUUGUAAUCUGUAGUGAAUUUAGCUUUCAUUAUUGGCAAAAUUUAUAAGCUGAGAUUAGUUUAUCUUUGUAGUACAAACUAGGUGGAUACUUCUGUGGCAACAUACUAUGAACAGUCUUCUGAGAGAAUAAAACACUAAAAGUCACCCUAGCCAUUUUGGAAGACGGGAUCAAAAUUCCUUGGAAACAAUCCCAUGAAACUACUGGAACUAUAUUAUUUUUAGGUUCUAGUUUUGUAAAGACCUUUGAGCAGCGCACUGCCAAGCUCUGCAAAGCCUAUGUCCAUUUUCAAACCUGAUUCAAGCAAUAAAGGUGCAAGCCACAAAAGAAAUCUGAUGGUGCGAUGGUACCUUGGGGCUUUCAGCAGGGAGAUGAGGGAUGAAUGAAGUCCUUGCAAAAAGAAAAGUGAUCUGAAACUGAAACUUUCCUAUAACAGGAAGGCACUCUGACUUCCUUACAGUUCACAGGAUACAGGUGUUUAUCUGCUUUGCCUUCAGCCUCCUACACCCCGAGCUUUCUUUAGAACCAAAUCCAGUAAGUGUGGUCUGAGAAAUACAAACCAGUUUGGGCCUUCCAGGUCUUUUUUUGAAAUCUAAUGUAGUCAAAAUAUGAGAUAGCUACCUAGCCCCUCAGCAUUACCAAAGAUUUAGGAUGCUCUAGGCUUGCCAAGAAAUAAUCUGGAAAGUGUGCAGGGAAGGAUAUGGAUGGCAGUUUAGGAGCAUGGGGAACUCUAGCAGUGGUUUAUGGAGUAUGGAUUUGGAGGCGAUGACUAGUCAUGUUUGUUCUUUUGUGGACUCAGUCCUUAGUCUUGUU